rnacentral:rRNA from 1 species
GAUCCUGGCUCAGGACGAACGCUGGCGGCGCGCCUAACACAUGCAAGUCGAACGAGAGAGAGGAAGCUUGCUUCCUCAAUCGAGUGGCGAACGGGUGAGUAACGCGUGAGGAACUUACCUCAAAGAGGGGGACAACAGUUGGAAACGACUGCUAAUACCGCAUAAGCCCACAGGUCAGCAUCGACCAGAGGGAAAAGGAGCAAUCCGCUUUGAGAUGGCCUCGCGUCCGAUUAGCUAGUUGG